rnacentral:rRNA from 1 species
CCUACGAGCUGCAGCAGUGGGGAAUAUUGGACAAUGGGCGAAAGCCUGAUCCAGCCAUGCCGCGUGUGUGAAGAAGGCCUUCGGGUUGUAAAGCACUUUCAGUGGGGAAGAAAGCCUUGGGGCUAAUACCCUCGAGGAAGGACAUCACCCACAGAAGAAGCACCGGCUAACUCCGUGCCAGCAGCCGCGGUAAUACGGAGGGUGCGAGCGUUAAUCGGAAUUACUGGGCGUAAAGCGCGCGUAGGCGGUCUGAUAAGCCGGUUGUGAAAGCCCCGGGCUCAACCUGGGAACGGCAUCCGGAACUGUCAGGCUAGAGUGCAGGAGAGGAAGGUAGAAUUCCCGGUGUAGCGGUGAAAUGCGCAGAGAUCGGGAGGAAUACCAGUGGCGAAGGCGGCCUUCUGGACUGACACUGACGCUGAGGUGCGAAAGCGUGGGUAGCAAACAGGAUUAGAUACCCUAGUAGUC